rnacentral:rRNA from 1 species
AAAACCCACCAAUCACAAAAAUAGUUUUGAAAAAGAAAGAAAGAGGAACAAAAAAUAUUUUUUUUGGGGGGGGAAAAGGGGGAGGGGUUUAUAAAAGGGGGGGGUUUUUUGCCCUUUUUGGGUUUGGAAAAAACACCGGGGGAAAAUUUUUGUUUUAAUUCCCGGAUAAAGCCCUCACCAGGGGAAGUUUUUAUAUCGGCAAAAAGAGGAGCCCGCACUUGAUUAGGAAUGUGGGGAAGGUAAUAGCUCAACCAGGCCACCGAUCAUAGCUGUUCUUAAGGGGAGAUCAGCCACAUGGGGAUUGAGACACGCCCCAACUUCNUACGGGAGGCAGCAGUGGGAAUCUGCACAAAUGGGGGAAANCCUGAUGCAGCGAUGCGNCGUGAGUGAAGAAGGCCUUUGGGUUGUAAAGCCCUUUCGUCGGGGAAGAAAAUGACUGUACCCGAAUAAGAAGGUCCGGCUAACUUCGUGCCAGCAGCCGCGGUAAUACGAAGGGACCUAGCGUAGUUCGGAAUUACUGGGCUUAAAGAGCUCGUAGGUGGUUAGAAAAGUUGGUGGUGAAAUCCCAAGGCUUAACCUUGGAACUGCCACCAAAACUUUUUGACUAGAGUGUGAUAGAGGAAAGUGGAAUUUCUAGUGUAGAGGUGAAAUUCGUAGAUAUUAGAAAGAACACCAAUUGCGAAGGCAACUUUCUGGAUCAUUACUGACACUGAGGAGCGAAAGCAUGGGUAGCGAAGAGGAUUAGAUACCCUCGUAGUCCAUGCCGUAAACGAUGUGUGCUAGACGUUGGGAAUUUAAUUUUCAGUGUCGCAGCAAAAGCGUUAAGCACACCGCCUGGGGAGUACGACCGCAAGGUUAAAACUCAAAUGAAUUGACGGGGACCCGCACAAGUAGUGGAGCAUGUGGUUUAAUUCGAAGAUACGCGCAGAACCUUACCAACACUUGACAUGUUCGUCGCGACUCUAAGAGAUUAGAGUCUUCGGUUCGGCCGGACGAAACACAGGUGCUGCAUGGCUGUCGUCAGCUCGUGUCGUGAGAUGUUGGGUUAAGUCCCGCAACGAGCGCAACCCCUACUUUUAGUUGCUACCAUUUAGUUGGGCACUCUAAAAGAACUGCCAGUGAUAAGCUGGAGGAAGGUGGGGAUGACGUCAAGUCCUCAUGGCCCUUACGUGUUGGGCUACACACGUGCUACAAUGGCAUUUACAGUGAGAAGCAAAGAUGCGAGUCUAAGCCAAUCCCUAAAAAAUGCCUCAGUUCGGAUUGCACUCUGCAACUCGAGUGCAUGAAGCUGGAAUUACUAGUAAUCGCGGAUCAGCGCGCUGACAGUAAUCGCGCC